GGGGGUGAAAUGGCUUCGACCUGGGUGUGGAUCAUCUGGGGGAAGCGGGCCGAGGUUCCGGAUGCCUCGUUAAAAGCCGGAUCAGAAACAAGUGCCGACAACAUGGCGCUCGCUGCCUAAUUAGUUAGGUAGCCGUCCCCCGCGGGGUGUCUGCGCCCGCGGAUCGGACGUCGCGAGCAGACUCACGGAGGUGGCUCCGCCCGGGGGCCGCCGCCGGAAACCUUACCCGGGCUGGUCACGAGGUCCUCCGCCGGUGGGAGCCCCGUGGCGAGACUUCACCACUGGCUACGCCCGUAGAAGACCCAGAGGGUCGCUCAGGGACGCGGGUUCGAGUCCCGCCACCUCCACUU
rnacentral:tmRNA from 1 species